UAUUAAAGAAGAACUGAGUUGGGAGUCAGACCUGGAGGCCCCCACCCUUAGGUUCUUUUCAAUAUACCCCUUCAUGGUUGAACUCAUACAACAGAGAAAUGCAUAAUGUCCAGUCAAUUUAUUAAAGUUCCAAAGUCGGUCGCGCGCAGUGGCUCACGCCUGUAAUCUCAACACUUCGGGAGGCCGAGACGUGUGGAUCACGAGGAGUGAGGACACAGCGAAAGUGAGACAAGGAAAAGAGAACAAAAUAAAACAGGAAAGAUAGAAAAGCCAAUACCACACGUGUUAAGAGGAACAAGCUCCCGUGCUGCUAGAGAAAGUCCUCAGCUAGAAACUGGUGCAAAUUCUGGAGAUGAGACCUUGUAGAGUGUUAAGAAUGGUUUUCUUCCCAGCAGCUACAGGUGAUCAAGAAGGACUGCAGAAAGGAGGAAACAGAAACAAACAGCACACCUCUUGGUUUAUUUGUAUUCAUUUCAUCAGUUUCAAGGAAAAUAUGUUGGGAGUUCCUCGCAUAGAGAAUGUCACAAAGACAUGUUUUCAAUAGUAGUGCUAUCCCUAGGGCAGAGAAGACCCAGAGAAAGCCCAAGUGGCUGCUGGAACACAGUCAGACACCGUGCCACCUGUCCACACUCCUUGGCUCUGCCAUCAUGCUGAAGAUCGCUUUAAAGGACUGGCUUCCCUCCCCCCAAAAUGAAUAGAGCACAGA
rnacentral:lncRNA from 10 species